UACGUAGGGGGCGAGCGUUGUCCGGAUUCAUUGGGCGUAAAGAGCUCGUAGGCGGCUUGUCAAGUCGGGUGUGAAACCUCCAGGCUCAACCUGGAGACGCCACUCGAGACUGUCAUGGCUAGAGUCCGGUAGGGGAUCACGGAAUUCCUGGUGUAGCGGUGAAAUGCGCAGAUAUCAGGAGGAACACCGGUGGCGAAGGCGGGUCUCUGGGCAGUGAACUGACGCUGAGGAGCGAAAGCGUGGGGAGCGAACAGG
rnacentral:rRNA from 1 species